rnacentral:rRNA from 1 species
GGAGGGGGUUUAGCGUUGUUCGGAAUUACUGGGCGUAAAGCGCACGUAGGCGGAUCAGAAAGUUGGGGGUGAAAUCCCAGGGCUCAACCCUGGAACUGCCUCCAAAACUCCUGGUCUAGAGUUCGAGAGAGGUGAGUGGAAUUCCGAGUGUAGAGGUGAAAUUCGUAGAUAUUCGGAGGAACACCAGUGGCGAAGGCGGCUCACUGGCUCGAUACUGACGCUGAGGUGCGAAAGUGUGGGGAGCAAACAGGAUUAGAUACCCUGGUAGUCCACACCGUAAACGAUGAAUGCCCAGUCGUCGGGUAGUAUACUAUUCGGUGACACACCUAACGGAUUAAGCAUUCCGCCUGGGGGAGUACGGUCGCAAGAUUA